AGCAGCCGCGGUAAUUCCAGCUCCAAUAGCGUAUAUUAAAGUUGUUGCAGUUAAAAAGCUCGUAGUUGAAUUUCGGAAUCGACGGAUUGGUCGCGCCUUCGGUGUGUACUGGUCUUGCCGGUUUCUCCCUUCUGACGAACCACGAUGUCAUUAAUUUGGUGUCGCGGGGAAUCAGGACUGUUACUUUGAAAAAAUUAGAGUGUUUAAAGCAGGCAUUAGCUUGAAUACAUUAGCAUGGAAUAAUGAAAUAGGACGUUUGAUCUUAUUUUGUUGGUUUCUAGGAUCGACGUAAUGAUUAAUAGGGAUAGUUGGGGGCAUUAGUAUUCAAUUGUCAGAGGUGAAAUUCUUGGAUUUAUUGAAGACUAACUACUGCGAAAGCAUUUGCCAAGGAUGUUUUCAUUAAUCAAGAACGAAAGUUAGGGGAUCGAAGACGAUCAGAUACCGUCGUAGUCUUAACCAUAAACUAUGCCGACUAGGGAUCGGAUGAUGUUAAUUUUUAAUGACUCAUUCGGCGCCUUAA
rnacentral:rRNA from 1 species